rnacentral:rRNA from 1 species
CAAUAGCGUAUAUUUAAGUUGUUGCAGUUAAAAGCUCGUAGUUGGAUUUCGGAUGUGAACGACCGGUCCGCCGUUGCGGUGUGCACUGGACGUUUGUAUCUUGUUGUCGGGGACGCGCUCCUGACCUUAACUGGGAGGGACGCGGAGUCGGCGCUGUUACUUUGAAAAAUUAGAGUGUUCAAAGCAGGCAACCGCUCUGAAUACAUUAGCAUGGAAUAACGCUAUAGGACUCUGGUCCUAUUGUGUUGGUCUUCGGGACCGGAGUAAUGAUUAAUAGGGACAGUUGGGGUAGUUCGUAUUCGUUUGUUCAGAGGUGGAAAUUCUUGGAAUUUUCCGUGAAAUGCAACGAACUAACUGCUGAAGCAAUUACCAAUGACAUGUUUUCUAUUAAUCAAGAACGAAAGUUAGGGGAUCGAAGACGAUCAGAUACC